GCCUGGGUGGCUCAGUGGGUUAAGCAUCCGACUUCGGUUCAGGUCAUGAUCUCACAGUUCAUGGGUUCGAGUCCCAUGCCAGGUU
rnacentral:tRNA from 1 species